rnacentral:tRNA from 1 species
ACUGGGAUUGCUGAGUGGCCAAGGCGUUGGACUUAAGGUCCAAUGGACAUGUGUCUGUGUGAGUUUGAACCCUGCUCCGGGUA